rnacentral:lncRNA from 1 species
GUCAAAUGUCUCGGUAAGAUUUGCUUCCUCUACUGCAGAUGGAAAGCUGAAUUUUCCAGUGACUGUCCCAUGAAGUUGCCACUUCACAAGGUAUCAGAUGAUGAUGACGAUGAUGAUGAUGAUGAUGAUGAUGAUGAUGAUGAUGAUGAUGAUGGUGAUCAUAUCCAGAGAGAAGCAAAGUGAAUGUGUACCAUUGUGUCUUGAAUCCAGCUUGGCCAUAAGGAAAUGGGGCGAGACUUUGUCAUGUAUGUCGCUGAAGUUCAGCUAUGCAAAAAUGUUCACCUAUCCUUGAUCAACCAGUCCAGGAACCAUCAAAGAAGAAAAUGAGAUUCGACUUAGAAGACCUGUUCUUUAUAAACCCCUGCACAGCCCUAAUGAUCAACACCACUUCCAGUGCUCAUAAAUUACUGCUUCAAUAAUUGUUCUGCAAUUCUGCCUAUUCUCAUUGAAUGCUUCGUAUAAUCCCUUUAUUUACUUUGGGCUACGAUUCAUUUUUAUCAGUCAAAUGACUACUAGACUAUCCUGGUUUCUAAUUUGAAAUGUAUCCAAAGAAGAUUCCUGUCUCACCCUCUGCAAUCCACUUGCAUGUCUGACCACACUCGGUGCCUACACAAUCUUCACUUUGUCUAGCCUAAAUUCUUCUAACUGUGGCCUAAGGCCUUGGAAGAAUGAUGCCUCUGUGGGGUAAGAACUGCCUUCGUGGCAUAAGAAAGGCAGACCUGGGUGAUCUGGAAGGGCUGUUGCAAGGGGAUAGGAGUGCUGAGGCCUUUUCCAUUAAGAAUACACAGGACUAUGGAGACUCUUGUUUUACUAGAAACUUCUUCACAGAUACCUUAAAUUAGGAAG